rnacentral:rRNA from 1 species
AACGAACGCUGGCGGCGUGGAUAAGACAUGCAAGUCGAACGAGAAACUACUUAGCUUGCUUUGGAGUUUCUAGUGGCGGACGGGUGAGUAACACGUGAGUCACCUGCCCUAAAGUCGGGGACAGCCCGGGGAAACUCGGAUUAAUACCGGAUGUGAUCGCAAGAUUAAAGAGGCUUCGGCCUCGCUUUAGGAUGGGCUCGCGGCCUAUCAGCUAGUUGGUAAGGUAACGGCUUACCAAGGCGAUGACGGGUAGCUGGUCUGAGAGGACGACCAGUCACACUGGAACUGAGACACGGUCCAGACACCUACGGGUGGCAGCAGUCGAGAAUCAUUCACAAUGGGGGCAACCCUGAUGGUGCGACGCCGCGUGGAGGACGAAGGCCCUAGGGUCGUAAACUCCUGUCAUCAGAGAGUAAGGACUUCACUAGGAAAUGAGUGGGGUAUUGAUAGUAUCUGAAGAGGAAGGGACGGCUAACUUCG